GGGCUCGACGAUCCUCUGGUAAGUACACGACUCUCGACCCUACCUACUGUUUCCGAACCCUUACAUAUGAGAAAAACGAACGCUCUUUUUUUUCUCUCUCUUUCUUCUUUUUUUUUCCUUUUAACUCUUUUAGAAAAAGACACGAAUAGAUACCAAAAGAUUUUUCUGAUGUAAAUCUAAUUUUUAAUUUUCAUAUAUUCUCUUUCUCUUCAUCUCUUAGAUCCGUUAAUAGUAUAUCUAUAUAUAUAUAUAUACCCAUCUCUCUUCCUCUCUCUUCUUCUCUUGCUUUCUGCCUCUCUCUCUCUCUCUCUCUCUCUCUCUCUCUCUCUCUUUCUCUUUCUCUUUCUCUCUCGGAACGUGCAAGGUUCAAUAAGUUUCCGCAUGUCUCGAUAAAUCAUCGGUUUUCUAUAUACUACAUAUACUAUGUAUAAGAAGUGAGGUUAAUUGUCCCGAGCAUUAAGUAAUCGCUUCACGGUCAACGCAUAUGUAUAUAAGCAUCUAUGUAUAUGUGUUAGUGUACGUAAAAAAGAUUUCAAAAUGGCGCCCAUCAUCGACAAGAUGACAAGAUGUAUUUUUCGCUAAUGACAUUUAUUCUUCUUAUUCUUCUUCCUCGAUUCUACUGAGAAACCAGGAUGAAUAAGCACAGAGUAUUAAAUCUAUCUCUUUGGCUCGUAUUUUAUCAAAGUACUGUAAAAGUUACAAGAACGAGCGCCUUAACGGUCAUAAAUCUUCUACACAUUCUUCUCUCGAGUCUCGUAAACAAUAAUAUUGAGUAAGUACUUUCGAUAAGGUACUUUAGAAUAUUUAAAAGCACAUACAUCGUCGUUGUUAUUGUCAGUAGGGAAUAAGCAGUCGUCCUCUGUUGGUGAGAUCAUUAGAACUCGGUGAAGGAUUACUCGAAGGAGGAUAGACUGGUAAGUACGAAUGUAGCUAAUUUGUUCGCGGUGUAAAUCGUUGAAAAUAGCCAAUUAGAGUGGGGGACGAGAUGGUGCACGACAAUUUGAGUGGAACGUUUCAUGGCGUCGCGACGCCACUUCAUUGUUUUUUCUCUUAUACUGGCACGCUCGUCCCAACACAAGAGCGUUGACUACAACAACGUUGAAGUGUCUCGUCACAGUGUGAUCACGUAGCUUCCCUUCUACUUUCCGUUAGUAUCUCUCCUUGAUUGGCUAUUUUUAAUCGUUUAUAUUUAACUGAGGAAGAAAGUGAUUUGAACGAAUAUACACGGGAACCAAGUUCUCUUUCGUCAAUUUUUAAGUUUCAUAUAGUUUAAUAAUUUCUUUCGAUGUACGAUAAGAUUUAUUUUCAUUGAAAAAAAAGGGAAAGAAAAAAAGAAAAAAAAAACGAAUAGCUUUUUAUAUAUACAUAUACGUUCGUAUUGUUUUUUUUUUCUCCUCCAAUUAGAAAUGGUUAAUACUCGUUUAGAAUAAUAAAAACAGGUAAAUGUUCUGAACACGAAUUAAACGUAACCGCGUGGCUUGGAACGAUCGUUGCCGUGUAAUUAUCUCCUGACAAAUGUAUCUAAGCAUCGUUAUUACAUAGAGCGCAAUGAAUGAGGAGGACUUACACGCGUGAUCAAGGAGACUUUAAUUAUCAGCGCCAUCGCAGGGCGUCGAAGUGGAAGAGAAUUUAAGAGUCGACGAUCUCUCGAACAUCGUACUGUAUUUGUUCUGUUAAUAAUUAUUAAACAUUCGUCAAAUAUUA